CCUACGGGUGGCAGCAGUGGGGAAUAUUGGACAAUGGGCGAAAGCCUGAUCCAGCCAUGCCGCGUGUGUGAAGAAGGCCUUCGGGUUGUAAAGCACUUUCAGUGGGGAAGAAAGCCUUGGGGCUAAUACCCUCGAGGAAGGACAUCACCCACAGAAGAAGCACCGGCUAACUCCGUGCCAGCAGCCGCGGUAAUACGGAGGGUGCGAGCGUUAAUCGGAAUUACUGGGCGUAAAGCGCGCGUAGGCGGUCUGAUAAGCCGGUUGUGAAAGCCCCGGGCUCAACCUGGGAACGGCAUCCGGAACUGUCAAGCUAGAGUGCAGUAGAGGAAGGUAGAAUUCCCGGUGUAGCGGUGAAAUGCGUAGAGAUCGGGAGGAAUACCAGUGGCGAAGGCGGCCUUCUGGACUGACACUGACGCUGAGGUGCGAAAGCGUGGGUAGCAAACAGGAUUAGAUACCCGAGUAGUC
rnacentral:rRNA from 1 species